GAUGAACGCUGGCGGCGUGCCUAAUACAUGCAAGUCGAGCGAACAGACGAGGAGCUUGCUCCUCUGACGUUAGCGGCGGACGGGUGAGUAACACGUGGAUAACCUACCUAUAAGACUGGGAUAACUUCGGGAAACCGGAGCUAAUACCGGAUAAUAUAUUGAACCGCAUGGUUCAAUAGUGAAAGACGGUUUUGCUGUCACUUAUAGAUGGAUCUGCGCCGCAUUAGCUAGUUGGUAAGGUAACGGCUUACCAAGGCAACGAUGCGUAGCCGACCUGAGAGGGUGAUCGGCCACCCUGGAGCUGAGACACGGUCCAGACUCCUACGGGAGGCAGCAGUAGGGAAUCGUCCGCAGUGGGCGAAAGCCUGACGGAGCAACGCCGCGUGAGUGAUGAAGGUCUUCGGAUCGUAAAACUCUGUUAUUAGGGAAGAACCAAUGUGUAAGUAACUAUGCACGUCUUGACGGUACCUAAUCAGAAAGCCACGGCUAACUACGUG
rnacentral:rRNA from 1 species